rnacentral:lncRNA from 10 species
CUUAGAACCUAAUUAGGCUUCCCAACCUGCAAUCUAACGAGCUUGGUGAUGUGGCUGCCAAGUUUACAGCAGAUUCAAAGGCUGAUGGAAAUGUUUGGGGAUGAGACAGAGGCGAUGAUGGAACAACACUGUGAAGAACCACAGCACGGCUCCCCAUAAAAGUCAUCUUUAUGGACAGAUAUUUCAUGGCGGCAGCUUGAGAAGGCUCACGUUUCUUAGGCAGCUGGUGCAGAGCCAGGAGAGCUAAUCAUGAGAUCUUCCAGUCCCAGGACGUGGGCUGCAGCUGGCGGCUGUGGUCGUCUUAUAUCAAACUCUCAAGAGUCACAGGGCAGCAGCAUUGGCCCCCUCCCAAGUCAUUCCAGAUGGGAUUUAAGGUGGCUUAAUGAGCAUUCAUAAAAUACAGCAAGAGAACAUAAACU